rnacentral:rRNA from 1 species
AGAGUUUGAUCCUGGCUCAGGAUGAACGCUAGCUACAGGCUUAACACAUGCAAGUCGAGGGGAAACGAUAUUGGAAGCUUGCUUCCGAUAGGCGUCGACCGGCGCACGGGUGAGUAACGCGUAUCCAACCUGCCCACCACUUGGGGAUAACCUUGCGAAAGUAAGACUAAUACCCAAUGAUAUCUCUAGAAGACAUCUGAAAGAGAUUAAAGAUUUAUCGGUGAUGGAUGGGGAUGCGUCUGAUUAGCUUGUUGGCGGGGUAACGGCCCACAAGGCGACGAUCAGUAGGGGUUCUGGAGAGGAAGGUCCCCCANAUUGGAACUGAGACACGGUCCAAACGUCCUACGGGAGGCA